rnacentral:lncRNA from 1 species
ACGGGGCGGCAGCAGCAGGGGUCGCGGCAGCAGCAGGGCUGGCAGCAGCCUCCCCCGUAGCUCAGGGAGGAGAAGGUGGAGCCGCAGCAGGAGCCGGUCAUGGUGGUGUCUGAGGCUGGAGAAGGUGGAGCCGCAGCAGGAGCCGGUCAUGGUGGUGUCUGAGGCUGGUGUGGGUUGGGCUAUUGAGAGGAGCUGGAUGUUCUCAGGUGUGAAUGUCCUCCUCCCCCUCUGGGCCCUUUAUAUACCCUGGCUGGGAGCUGAUGACCCUUCAACAUAUGAUCAUUUUCUUGUGCAUCUUCUGGCCAAUUAAGUGAAGAUUUAG